GAACAAACCUGAACUUCUCUCCUUCCUCAUGAAGAUUUUAUCAACCUGCCUCUGAUUUUACAGCAAACCUUCUGCUGCUCUGAAAGAAGAAACUACAAACCAGGUGAAGGUAGAAAGUGUGUGUGAGCUGAUGUGAAUUCAGCAGCAUGGAUCAG